CCACAUCAGAAAAGGUAUAGUACUAAGUAGUAGAAAGAGUUUAGAGAACAAAACAAAACACAUAGGCCACAUAGCAAAAUACUACUACUAAUCACAUUAAAAAUGUCAAUAUUCAACCUUUGUAACAACAAAGAAGAUCAAAACCCCAACGUAUUGGGAACUUAAAGAGGUUUUAAAGCUCCAAGUUUAACACAAAAUUUUCGUUUCCAAGUGAGCUCUUCCCAUUUGUUUCUGGUGGUGAGUGGAUGAACAGUCUAUAGAUGGGCAUAGAGAGUGCUAGUAGAUCUUCCCACUUAGCCGAUAAACUAUAUCAUAAACCCCAUUUAUCCUCACAAAAUGGCACAAGCAUUAGGAUUCUCAUCAUUAAACAUCUGGUGAGGUGGGUGAACAAACACUGGAUAGUUCGGAACAUAGGCCGGGUAACAAUGCCCAUGUCCAUGCGGGU
rnacentral:lncRNA from 1 species